rnacentral:rRNA from 1 species
GCUUCAGGAUAACGCUGGCGGCGUGCCUAUACAUGCAAGUCGAGCGAACGGAUAAGGAGCUUGCUCCUUUGAAGUUAGCGGCGGACGGGUGAGUAACACGUGGGUAACCUACCUAUAAGACUGGAAUAACUUCGGGAAACCGGAGCUAAUGCCGGAUAACAUUUGGAACCGCAUGGUUCUAAAGUAAAAGAUGGUUUUGCUAUCACUUAUAGAUGGACCCGCGCCGUAUUAGCUAGUUGGUAAGGUAACGGCUUACCAAGGCAACGAUACGUAGCCGACCUGAGAGGGUGAUCGGCCACACUGGAACUGAGACACGGUCCAGACUCCUACGGGAGGCAGCAGUAGGGAAUCUUCCGCAAUGGACGAAAGUCUGACGGAGCAACGCCGCGUGAGUGAUGAAGGUUUUCGGAUCGUAAAACUCUGUUAUUAGGGAAGAACAAAUGUGUAAGUAACUGUGCACAUCUUGACGGUACCUAAUCAGAAAGCCACG